CAUUGCACGCCAUCCCUCUGGGGCCAGGUUCCCUGACAUUGCCCCCAUCCCUCUGGGGCCAGGUUCCCUGAUAUUGCCCCCAUUAGCCUGCGGCCAGGCUCCCCAAUACCCCCCCAUUCCUCUGGGGCCCAGAUACUGCUCAUGAGAGUGGAAGACUCACAGGCCGCAGACCCCCAUUAUCUCUUCCCCCAUAAUCUCUAAGCCAAUCCAACCCCCUAAUAAAUAAUACUGUGCUCCCAAAUGGGCCGAACGUGGCCCUCCAGCCUGCUCAAGGGCCCCACCAUGUCAAUGUCCGGCUCCAGUUGAAAGAAAUACGUGGGGGGGGGGGGGAGUUGGGGAGCCCCGCUGUGUAAUUAUAAGAAGAUCAUGUAGAACCCCCUAGACACCCCCAUGUCUCCCACCCUCCUCCCGUUUAGCAGUAGGGUCCCCCCCCCCAACAAUAACAGCGCUAUAAGGUCCAACCCCCCAAAUGAAUAACAGUUCUGUUACCCCCCACCCCAUGGGGGGCAUGGAAGUCCCAGCUCAUGCUAUGGAAGAGGCUCUGUAUAUAUAUACACCCUGAUAUGUGGAUGCCCCGCCCCUGUACCCCCUCAUGUUGUGCCCCCCUCAUGCUGCAGCCCAGCGACAUGCACCCAAACAUCAGCCUAAAGCAGGACCCCCCCUCCCC